AUGCUGACAAUGCUACAUUACGCCUUAGUAUACAUGGCAUAUCAUACCAGCAGAUGGCUUCCAAGGAAUGAAAGGUUAAAAUUUCAAAUUAUUAAUGCAGUCUUUGUGGCACUAGUUCUCAUCCCUCAAUUGUUUGUGCUAACCAGGCCCAAAUCCUCUAGAUACUGCCAGCAGCCUCUUCUGAACAAUCUCACUGCCUUCAUUAUCAUGUCCUUCAUGGCAACAGGUUUUGCAGUAACAUUCACACUGAUAGACCCAGUGCCCCAAAGCUUCAGGGCAGCCUACCAUGGGUUUGGACUUGUAUCUUUUGUCCAGGGACUAUGCACCAUCGCCCUGACUCUGACUGCACAACAGUGUGCGAAAACAACUCCUGAGCUGUACUAUUUGUCCCUUAUUCUAUCAUUGGCUUGUAUCCUGAGUACAGCCUUCUUCUUGGUGAAGGGAGGAUUCUGGGUAAAAACCAAUAGGCUACCCAGGCCUUGCCAGAGAGGGAACAAUGGCUAA
rnacentral:lncRNA from 13 species